AGUGAACGCUGGCGGCGUGCCUAAUACAUGCAAGUCGAACGGAGAUUCAGUAGCUUGCUAUUUAAUCUUAGUGGCGCACGGGUGAGUAAUAUAUAGCUAACUUGCCCAUUACUAAGGGACAACAGUUGGAAACGACUGCUAAUACCUUAUACUCCGUAUCUAUAUAAGUAGAUACGGGAAAGUUUUUCGGUAAUGGAUAGGGCUAUAUCGUAUCAGCUAGUUGGUAAGGUAAUGGCUUACCAAGGCUAUGACGCGUAACUGGUCUGAGAGGAUGAUCAGUCACACUGUAACUGAGACACGGUCCAGACUCCUACGGGAGGCAGCAGUAGGGAAGAUUGCUCAAUGGGGGAAACCCUGAAGCAGCAACGCCGCGUGGAGGAUGACACUUUUCGGAGCGUAAACUCCUUUUCUUGGGAAAGAAUUAUGACGGUACCCAAGGAAUAAGCACCGGCUAACUCCGUG
rnacentral:rRNA from 1 species